AGUGAACGCUGGCGGUAGGCCUAACACAUGCAAGUCGAACGGCAGCACAGUAAGAGCUUGCUCUUACGGGUGGCGAGUGGCGGACGGGUGAGGAAUACAUCGGAUUCUACUUUUUCGUGGGGGAUAACGUAGGGAAACUUACGCUAAUACCGCAUACGACCUACGGGUGAAAGCAGGGGAUCUUCGGACCUUGCGCGAUUGAAUGAGCCGAUGUCGGAUUAGCUAGUUGGCGGGGUAAAGGCCCACCAAGGCGACGAUCCGUAGCUGGUCUGAGAGGAUGAUCAGCCACACUGGAACUGAGACACGGUCCAGACUCCUACGGGAGGCAGCAGUGGGGAAUAUUGGACAAUGGGCGCAAGCCUGAUCCAGCCAUACCGCGUGGGUGAAGAAGGCCUUCGGGUUGUAAAGCCCUUUUGUUGGGGAAGAAAAGCAGCAGGUUAAUACCCCGCUGUUCUGACGGUACCCAAAGAAUAAGCACCGGCUAACUUCGUG
rnacentral:rRNA from 1 species